GCCUGAUUGAGCUUGUCCUCCAUGGGAGCGAAGCUAGCCUAGAGCAGGGGCCCGUGAGUGACCAUCAGGAAGGUUCCGGAACAGGUGAGUGUCCCACCCCAGUUCCUGCUCCACGGGGCCAGCAAAGGGAAGCCCCAGCUACUGAAACCCACACCAGUGGUUCUGUUAGAGAGGCACCAGGCAGGACUCCCAACAGGACCAACUCAAGUGACGACAGACACAAAUACGGGACACGUGUGUCCUCUUGUCCUCAUUACAAAAGCAAUAGUGAUCGGUCAGUGAAAUGGAGAGAGGACCAAGAGAAACGAAUCAGGAUGCAUGACACCCUGGCUUACGGCCCUAUUGGGGGGGGGGCAGUCCUGUUUUUCAACAAGAAUGGGCCCUGUGCCACACUCACUGCUUUGCAACGCACUCUAUCAACAACUGCUAUGAACCACUUCUAAGGUCAGUGAUGUCCUCCUGCCACCCAAACACUCACCUCAGCAGAUGGGACAAAACAAAUCACGUGUCUCAAGACAAUAAAGUAAUAAGCAGUCACUCAGACGAGAGAAAGCUUUAGGAAACACCAAAACCGACCUACAAAGCCAUCGUGAAAUGCUGCUGAAUGAGGCAAGCGGGCUGCAGAGUAAUGGAAAAUGCACGUCUACGACCACCACUGAAUGGCCACACUGCACUGCCCUAUGUGUUACAUCAUCCUGUAACUAACCCAGCUAACCUGGGGGCUGUCUUUACCACACUCCCACCAGAGUGGCUAAAGUGAAAAGUCUGACAGUGCCAAGUGUUGACGAGGAGACAUGGAGCAACUGGGAACUCACGUGCCCCAGUGGGAGUCUUGAACGCGGAAUACUCGGCCGUUUGCCGGUGCAGUCUCUCCACCAGGCUGUCCCGGUCUUCCCGCAUCUUCUCCUCCAGGGUCUGCUGUUGGUUUACGAGAUCCGUCACU